rnacentral:rRNA from 1 species
UACGUAGGGGGCUAGCGUUGUCCGGAAUCAUUGGGCGUAAAGAGCGCGUAGGCGGCUAGAUAAGUCCGGUGUGAAAGUCACAGGCUCAACCUGUGAAUGCCGCUGGAAACUGUCUGGCUAGAGUCCGGAAGGGGCGAGUGGAAUUCCUGGUGUAGCGGUGAAAUGCGCAGAUAUCAGGAGGAACACCGGUGGCGAAGGCGGGUCUCUGGGCAGUAACUGACGCUGAGGAGCGAAAGCGUGGGGAGCGAACAGG